CAUGCAUAUACGAAACGGGGAAUAAAUCACUUUGGGGGCAGGCAACUCUCAGGUCACACCAUUGAGAUUAUUUUGUCUGACGCUACGAGAGUGGACAGAUUUGGCAAAAGUGCCUUAGGUAUUACUGGCACUUGGGGACUCAGUAUCAAGUACCCAAUUCUUACACUUAAAUCAUGAGCUAGAUACUUGGCCGUUUUACACACAUACUUUCUACGUAUGUUCUUUCUCAUCUCUUCUAUAGAAUGAGUUGAGAGUGUCCCGAAAUUCUGCAAUUCUGCAGGCAAGGGUUUGCCUUGUUUCCUUGUGGGCACCUCCACCUAUCUGUCCCUGAGAGCUAGUAGUAGCUGCUUGGUAUGGGGA
rnacentral:sRNA from 2 species